GACGAACGCUGGCGGCGUGCUUAACACAUGCAAGUCGAACGGUAAGGCUCCAGCUUGCUGGGGUACACGAGUGGCGAACGGGUGAGUAACACGUGGGUGACCUGCCCUGCACUUCGGGAUACGCCUGGGAAACUGGGUCUAAUACCGGAUAGGACCAUGGUGUGGAUACUGUGUUGGAAAGUUUUUUCGGUGUGGGAUGGGCCCGCGGCCUAUCAGCUUGUUGGUGGGGUAAUGGCCUACCAAGGCGGCGACGGGUAGCCGGCCUGAGAGGGUGGACGGCCAGAUUGGGACUGAGACACGGCCCAGACUCCGACGGGAGGCAGCAGUGGGGAAUAUUGCACAAUGGGCGGAAGCCGGAUGAAGGGACACAGAGUGGGGGAUGACGGACUUCGGGUUGUAAACUCAUUUCACCAUCGAAGAAGAGUUUAUGAAGGUAGAUGGAGAAGAAGCACCGGCUAACUACGUG
rnacentral:rRNA from 1 species